AUUGAACGCUGGCGGCAUGCUUUACACAUGCAAGUCGAACGGUAACAGGUCUUCGGAUGCUGACGAGUGGCGAACGGGUGAGUAAUGCAUCGGAACGUGCCCAGUCGUGGGGGAUAACGCAGCGAAAGCUGCGCUAAUACCGCAUACGAUCUAUGGAUGAAAGCGGGGGACCGUAAGGCCUCGCGCGAUUGGAGCGGCCGAUGUCAGAUUAGGUAGUUGGUGGGGUAAAGGCUCACCAAGCCAACGAUCUGUAGCUGGUCUGAGAGGACGACCAGCCACACUGGGACUGAGACACGGCCCAGACUCCUACGGGAGGCAGCAGUGGGGAAUUUUGGUACGAAUAGGGC
rnacentral:rRNA from 1 species